CUACGACCAUAUCACGUUGAAAACACCGGUUCUCGUCCGAUCACCGAUCAGUUAAGCAACGUCGAGCCCGGUUAGUACUUGGAUGGGUGACCGCCUGGGAAUACCGGGUGUUGUAG
rnacentral:rRNA from 1 species